rnacentral:rRNA from 1 species
GAUGAACGCUGGCGGCGUGCUUAACACAUGCAAGUCGAACGGAAAGGCCCAAGCUUGCUUGGGUACUCGAGUGGCGAACGGGUGAGUAACACGUGGGUGAUCUGCCCUGCACUUCGGGAUAAGCCUGGGAAACUGGGUCUAAUACCGGAUAGGACGAUGGUUUGGAUGCCAUUGUGGAAAGUUUUUUCGGUGUGGGAUGAGCUCGCGGCCUAUCAGCUUGUUGGUGGGGUAAUGGCCUACCAAGGCGUCGACGGGUAGCCGGCCUGAGAGGGUGUACGGCCACAUUGGGACUGAGAUACGGCCCAGACUCCUACGGGAGGCAGGAGUGGGGAAUAUUGCACAAUGGGGGCAAGCCUGAUGCAGCGACGCCGCGUGGGGGAUGACGGCCUUCGGGUUGUAAACUCCUUUCGCUAGGGACGAAGCGUUUUUGUGACGGUACCUGGAGAAGAAGCACCGGCUAACUACGUG